rnacentral:rRNA from 1 species
AGAGUUUGAUCCUGGCUCAGGACGAACGCUGGCGGCGUGCCUAAUACAUGCAAGUAGAACGCUGAAGGAGGAGCUUGCUUCUCUGGAUGAGUUGCGAACGGGUGAGUAACGCGUAGGUAACCUGCCUGGUAGUGGGGGAUAACUAUUGGAAACGAUAGCUAAUACCGCAUAAUAGUAGUUGUUGCAUGACAACUGUUUGAAAGGUGCAAUUGCAUCACUACCAGAUGGACCUGCGUUGUAUUAGCUAGUUGGUGGGGUAACGGCUCACCAAGGCGACGAUACAUAGCCGACCUGAGAGGGUGAUCGGCCACACUGGGACUGAGACACGGCCCAGACUCCUACGGGAGGCAGCAGUAGGGAAUCUUCGGCAAUGGACGGAAGUCUGACCGAGCAACGCCGCGUGAGUGAAGAAGGUUUUCGGAUCGUAAAGCUCUGUUGUAAGAGAAGAACGAGUGUGAGAGUGGAAAGUUCACACUGUGACGGUAUCUUACCAGAAAGGGACGGCUAACUACGUGCCAGCAGCCGCGGUAAUACGUANGUCCCGAGCGUUGUCCGGAUUUAUUGGGCGUAAAGCGAGCGCAGGCGGNUAGAUAAGUCUGAAGUUAAAGGCUGUGGCUUAACCAUAGUACGCUUUGGAAACUGGUUAACUUGAGUGCAAGAAGGGAGAGUGGAAUUNCAUGUGUAGCGGNGAAAUGCGUAGAUA